UGGGGAAUAUUGCACAAUGGGCGCAAGCCUGAUGCAGCCAUGCCGCGUGUAUGAAGAAGGCCUUCGGGUUGUAAAGUACUUUCAGCGGGGAGGAAGGGAGUAAAGUUAAUACCUUUGCUCAUUGACGUUACCCGCAGAAGAAGCACCGGCUAACUCCGUGCCAGCAGCAGCGGUAAUACGGAGGGUGCAAGCGUUAAUCGGAAUUACUGGGCGUAAAGCGCACGCAGGCGGUUUGUUAAGUCAGAUGUGAAAUCCCCGGGCUCAACCUGGGAACUGCAUCUGAUACUGGCAAGCUUGAGUCUCGUAGAGGGGGGUAGAAUUCCAGGUGUAGCGGUGAAAUGCGUAGAGAUCUGGAGGAAUACCGGUGGCGAAGGCGGCCCCCUGGACGAAGACUGACGCUCAGGUGCGAAAGCGUGGGGAGCAAACA
rnacentral:rRNA from 1 species